rnacentral:rRNA from 1 species
UACGUAGGGUGCGAGCGUUAAUCGGAAUUACUGGGCGUAAAGCGUGCGCAGGCGGUUCGUUGUGUCGGCGGUGAAAGCCCGGGCUCAACCUGGGAAUGGCCGUUGAAACUGGCGAACUGGAGUGUGGCAGAGGGGGGUGGAAUUCCGGCGUGUAGCAGUGAAAUGCGUAGAGAUGCGGAGGAACACCGAUGGCGAAGGCAGCCCCCUGGGCUAACACUGACGCUCAGGCACGAAAGCGUGGGGAGCAAACAGG